rnacentral:rRNA from 1 species
AACACGCUGGCGGCAGGCUAACAACUGCAGUUUAACGCGCCUUCGGGUGAGCGGCGGACGGGUUAGUAACGCGUGGGAACGUGCCCUUCUCUACGGAAUAGCCUCUGGAAACGGAGAGUAAUACCGUAUACGCCCUUUGGGGGAAAGAUUUAUCGGAGAAGGAUCGGCCCGCGUUAGAUUAGGUAGUUGGUGGGGUAACGGCCUACCAAGCCUACGAUCUAUAGCUGGUUUUAGAGGAUGAUCAGCAACACUGGGACUGAGACACGGCCCAGACUCCUACGGGAGGCAGCAGUGGGGAAUCUUAGACAAUGGGGGCAACCCUGAUCUAGCCAUGCCGCGUGAGUGAUGAAGGCCUUAGGGUCGUAAAGCUCUUUCGCCUGUGAUGAUAAUGACAGUAGCAGGUAAAGAAACCCCGGCUAACUCCGUGCCAGCAGCCGCGGUAAUACGGAGGGGGUUAGCGUUGUUCGGAAUUACUGGGCGUAAAGCGCGCGUAGGCGGAUUAGAAAGUUGGGGGUGAAAUCCCGGGGCUCAAACCCGGAACUGACUCCAAAACUGCUAGUCUAGAGUUCGACAGAGGUGAGUGGAAUUCCGAGUGUCGACGUGACCUUCCGAGAUAUUCGGAGGAAAACCAGUGGCGAAGGCGGCUCA